GCAAGCAGCCGGGCCGGGCCGCCAGGGUUUCUAGGAAGAUAGGAAGGGUUUGAGAUCUUCUGUGGUCGAAUGGGAGCGUUGGCUGUCACUCACGGUGUUUACACGCUGGCAACACGAUCCCCCGAAACCUCAGGCUUGCGCCAGCCGGGGGAGGGCCGCAGCCGCAGAGUAUCUCAGGUCCCGGUGUUAUGGAGAUCUGGGAGAUCAGCCAGAAAAAGCACAACCACGAACUCACACAGACACAGCCCAAAUGUAACAGUUCUCUAGAUUCAAGUGGCUCUGCAGCUCAGACAAAAUUCUUUCAGAGAGAGAAUAAAAGUGAACUUCCUGAAGAUCUGGUAAUACUUGUACAUGAUUAAAAACAACAACAACAACAACAACAACAACAAACCCACACCAGAAAACAAAAAGCACAACAGCCUGAGAGAGGAUAUAGUGAAAAAUGAGCAUCUCUGCUGUUGGAACUUCUUGUGACCCUUUCUCUU